rnacentral:lncRNA from 1 species
GAACGUUUCUCCAACUUUCCCAUUUCGGAUGCAACGCAUUCGCCUCAAAUGUCAUAAUCACAAUCGUGUCGAAAGUGGAGAUUCAAACACGAAGAAGGAAUUAUUUUCUUUCUUUUUUUUAAGUAACGAGAACUGGGUGUGUUUCAGGGGGCAGACACACGCGAAAGUGAAAGUCGCGACACGCAGGCACUGCGCAGUAUUUCGACCCACGCAAGACGGAAACGCCGUAUAAAGAUGGUCAAGGUAUUUGUCACAGGGAAGCGCCAUCCAUGGCAUGAUGACGUCACAUCUCGUCUAGCUCAGCGAAUUCACCUGAUGGAAAGCGCCCAGGACCAGAGCGACAUCACGCUGGCUUUCUGCACCGUGGCCUCUCGGGUUGGGACGGACAUCGAAGCUGCAAUGCGGAAUGUUCCGGCCAAUAAGCCUGCCAUUCUUGUGGUCUUCCACCACACGUUUGACCCAGACUUUGUGAUGCCGAGGACGAGCAGAUUUGCUGCCCGGGACGAUGUCCUUGUGGUGGACAUCAUGUUCACUGAGGAUGAGGGCAUCACGAGAAAUCUCCGUAACGACGAAGCGCUGAAGAAAGUGUCGGAUCGCCUCCUUUCUCUCAACACAUUCCCCUCCGAGGAUCCUCCUGCUGGAAACCAGAAUAUCCACCAGUCUCAAUUCAACACGAUCCUCCUUGUCGCCUUACUGUGUGUAUUUGCUUUUGUCGUCGUAGUUGGACUCAUUGUGUAUUUUGCGUUAAAUCAGACCUCCAACAAUGGGACAUACCACGGUCCCUCACACGCACCAUUCUGGAACCAGAAUCAACCAACAUAACCUUGUUCAGCUUUCACCCUCUUUCAAGACCAGACAGAUUAAUAUGAGACGUGUGGUAUAAUUGUGUAAAUUCACAUGGCACUCAGAGCCGAAGUCAUUAUGUCAUAAGUGUUUAUUGUUGUGUGAGGGACAUAAAUGUCCUCCAUGUGAGGACGUAUGAAUCACUUGGGGACACUUUUAAGUAACCAAGAAAGUCAGUUAAACAUACACAGUUGUAAUAUAUGUUGUAACAUACAAAAAUGAAAUAAUGUAAUACAGAUUAUACUAUAAAAAAAUCUUAACAAAAUCUUCUUGUCUUUUUAACAUAUCCUGUGAAAACAUGACUAUAGAACGAAUCUAUAGUUAUAAACUGCAAGAACACCUAAAACAUUGCACGCAUUAUGACUGGAAGGCGCUGCAUGAUAAUUUGGUAGCUCCUCAUCAGUCGCCUGACGUAGCUAAACGUCCCAUCAACCUUUAUUAGUCCCACAAGUGGGAAAUUGCAGAUGUGACCGAGAACGGUGAAAGUGAGC